UAAGACGAACCGUGCGAACGUUGUUCGGAAUCACUGGGCUUAAAGGGCGCGUAGGCGGGCUGCCAAGUCUGGGGUGAAAUCCCACGGCUCAACCGUGGAACUGCCUCGGAUACUGGCGGCCUCGAGGGGGGUAGGGGCAUGCGGAACUGUAGGUGGAGCGGUGAAAUGCGUUGAUAUCUACAGGAACUCCGGUGGCGAAGGCGGCAUGCUGGACCUUCACUGACGCUGAGGCGCGAAAGCCAGGGGAGCAAACGGGAUUAGAUACCCCGGUAGUCCUGGCCCUAAACGAUGGGUACUAGGUAGUAGACUAGACAUGGGUUUACUGCCGAAGCAAAAGUGCUAAGUACCCCGCCUGGGGAGUAUGGUCGCAAGGCUG
rnacentral:rRNA from 1 species